rnacentral:rRNA from 1 species
UACGUAGGUGGCAAGCGUUGUCCGGAUUUAUUGGGUUUAAAGGGUGCGUAGGCGGCCCUGUAAGUCAGUGGUGAAAUACUCUAGCUUAACUAGAGGGGUGCCAAUGAUACUGCAGGGCUUGAGUACAGAUGAGGUAGGCGGAAUUGACGGUGUAGCGGUGAAAUGCUUAGAUAUCGUCAAGAACACCUAUAGCGAAGGCAGCUUACUAGGCUGUAACUGACGCUGAGGCACGAAAGUGUGGGGAUCAAACAGG